rnacentral:rRNA from 1 species
GAUGAACGCUGGCGGCGUGCCUAAUACAUGCAAGUCGAGCAACGGACGAGAAGCUUGCUUCUCUGAUGUUAGCGGCGGACGGGUGAGUAACACGUGGAUAACCUACCUAUAAGACUGGGAUAACUUCGGGAAACCGGAGCUAAUACCGGAUGAUAUUUUGAACCGCAUGGUUCAAAAGUGAAAGACGGUCUUGCUGUCACUUAUAGAUGGAUCCGCGCUGCAUUAGCUAGUUGGUAAGGUAACGGCUUACCAAGGCAACGAUGCAUAGCCGACCUGAGAGGGUGAUCGGCCACACUGGAACUGAGACACGGUCCAGACUCCUACGGGAGGCAGCAGUAGGGAAUCUUCCGCAAUGGGCGAAAGCCUGACGGAGCAACGCCGCGUGAGUGAUGAAGGUCUUCGGAUCGUAAAACUCUGUUAUUAGGGAAGAACAUAUGUGUAAGUAACUGUGCACAUCUUGACGGUACCUAAUCAGAAAGCCACGGCUAACUACGUG